GUGUUCCAAGCUUUACUUCUUAUGACCCUUAAUUUUUUAUAUUUCAAACACCACCAGCACAUACCCCCUCCCUAAUUUUUAUAUGUCAAACACCCCCUUAGCUCAUAAUAAUAGUCGAAGCACCUGUUGAAGCCAUAAUAGAUUCCACUAGAGGGACAUUGUGAAUAUUACUACUUGGUUUACAUCGAACUAGUCAAGGAGUAGAUUAUGAUA
rnacentral:lncRNA from 1 species